GGAUGUGAGGGUGACCUGGCCGCGACAUCUGUCACCCCACUGAUUGCCAGGGUUGAUUCGGCUCAUCUGGCUGGCUCAGCGGGUGUCCCCUUCCUCCGUCACCGAUCCAGAUGCUGCCUCCGGAAGCCACACGCUCCAAGAGGACGACCUUCCCUCAAGAGGAGAGGAUUUGUCUUCAGCCAAGGUGUUCAAGUAGCUGCCCUCCCCUGCUGGACCCUCCAAACAAGGCCUCAGGAAGUCAUUCACCUGGAGUUGCUCUAACGGUGGACAGAGUAUCAAAACAGCUGACAAUGACGCUCCAGCAUUCUUU
rnacentral:snRNA from 1 species